UUUUCGGAUUGCGGCGACGUGGGCGGUUUGCUGCCUGCGACGUUGGGAGAAGUCCACUGAACCUUAUCAUUUAGAGGAAGGAGAAAGGUCGCUAACAAGGCUUUCCGUAGGUGAACCUGCGGAAGGAUCAUUGU
rnacentral:rRNA from 1 species